UGGGGAAUAUUGCACAAUGGGCGCAAGCCUGAUGCAGCCAUGCCGUGUGUAUGAAGAAGGCCUUCGGGUUGUAAAGUACUUUCAGCGGGGAGGAAGGGAGUAAAGUUAAUACCUUUGCUCAUUGACGUUACCCGCAGAAGAAGCACCGGCUAACUCCGUGCCAGCAGCCGCGGUAAUACGGAGGGUGCAAGCGUUAAUCGGAAUUACUGGGCGUAAAGCGCACGCAGGCGGUUUGUUAAGUCAGAUGUGAAAUCCCCGGGCUCAACCUGGGAACUGCAUCUGAUACUGGCAAGCUUGAGUCUCGUAGAGGGGGGUAGAAUUCCAGGUGUAGCGGUGAAAUGCGUAGAGAUCUGGAGGAAUACCGGUGGCGAAGGCGGCCCCCUGGACGAAGACUGACGCUCAGGUGCGAAAGCGUGGGGAGCAAACAGG
rnacentral:rRNA from 1 species